rnacentral:rRNA from 1 species
AACGAACGCUGGCGGCGUGGAUAAGACAUGCAAGUCGAACGGAAUAUCAUGAGUAGUAAUACGAGUGGUGUUUAGUGGCGAACGGGUGCGUAACACGUGGAUACAUUCCGGAAAGCGGGGGAUAGCCCAGGGAAACUUGGAUUAAUACCGCAUGUGGUCGAGAGACUAAAGACGGGGAUCGAAAGACCUGUCACUUUCCGAUUGGUCCGCGGCCUAUCAGCUAGUUGGCGGGGUAAAAGCCCACCAAGGCGACGACGGGUAGCUGGUCUUAGAGGACGACCAGCCACACUGGAACUGAGACACGGUCCAGACACCUACGGGUGGCAGCAGUCGAGAAUCUUUCACAAUGGGGGCAACCCUGAUGGAGCGACGCCACGCGGAGGAUAAGGUCUUCGGAUUGUAAACUCCUGUCAUGCGUGAACAAGGUUGCUUGGAUAAUACCUGAGCAAAUUGAUGGUAGCGCAAGAGGAAGAGACGGCUAACUCUGUGCCAGCCGCCGCGGUAAUAC